rnacentral:rRNA from 1 species
AUGAAAAUAUUAAGCUGGAACUGCCGCGGGAUAGGCGAUCCCGCGACAGUUCGUGAGCUCCGCAAUCUCGUGGAGAUUAGCUCGCCAACUAUCUUAUGUUUAGUUGAAACUCAAUUGCAAAAGAGUCAUGUGGAAGGUCUUCGGACAUCUUCAGGUUUUGAUUUCAGUUUUGGAGUAGGGAGUAGUGGCCGCAGUGGCGGCCUUUGUAUCUUUUGGAAGAACUCUUUG